GAGACGAAUAGAAAAAAAUGUGUUUCUUCACUCUCUCUCUCUCUCUCUAUCUCUCUAUCUCUCUCUCUCUCUCUUUUUCUCUCUCGUUCUAACACAAGAGAAGUCUCUCAUCUCUGUCUCUCUUGUCGGCCAAUGAGUCGUCGUCCUCUUUUGGUGGCCCAACCCUCGGAGCAACAUGGCCGCAUCGUACGAAACAGAGCUUAAGUAAGAGUUAGGUCAAGUUAGGUAGGUCCUUCUGGACCGUAGUUCUAGCUAGCUCGAGAGGGAGCAAGAAAGAGAGAAAGAGAAAGAGAGAGAGAGAGAGAGAGAGAGAGAGGGAAAUGAAGAGAGAAAGAAAAAGAGAGAAAGAGAGGCGUGUUACAAACGGGCGAUGCCUGUAUGGAAGAGUCGGAGAGAAGGGUGGCGCCGUGUAGUCAGCCAUCAUGGGAGAAACCAUGGCAAAGAAAAUGCAGCAUCCGCGUCUCUUUUAGUGUUCGAAAGACUUUCUUCGUCUAACCGAUAUAUAACCAUCGAAUGUUUGUUUUAUAAUAUGAUGAAUGAAUUAAUUCUUUCGAAUUUCUAUAUAUACGGUUAAAAUUUUGCGCACGCGAGUGACACACAAGUGCUGCGAAAUUUCAAUCAAUCGAACACCGAUUCGCGUCACGUAUUUUAUUAUUAACGGGAGAGAGAAAGAACAAAACGAAAAAAAAAAAAAAAGAAAAAAAAAAGAAAAAAAAAAGAAAAAAAAGAAAAAAGAAAAGAAAAAGAAUAGAGAAAAAAAGAGCAAAAGAAAAGAAAAAGAAAUCGAAAAUUAAUUUUCGAACAAAUGUUUCUUACGGAAGAUGAAAGAAGAAAUAUCAAAAUGAGGGAAACAAGAGAAUAGAAGAAAAUCGUUCGAGAAGAAGGAAGAAAAUUUAUUCGAGAAGCAAAAAAAGAAAAAAAGGAAAAAAAGGAAAAAAAGAAAAAAAAAAAAAGAAAAAGAAAGAAAAAAAGAAAAACAUCGACGUUAUCAUUAACGUUGUCAUUGUCAUCGGAGUAGAUGAAAGAGGACAUUGGUCAUGAUCGAAAGAAGAAAAUCAUAAUGGAGUUACGAACCAUCGUGUUUUGGAUAGCGCGAUUCGAUUCGAUGUCGCGGCAGGAAGGAAGCAAGGAAGAAAAAAAGAAAGAAAGAAAGAAAGAAAGAAAGGAAGAAGGAACGAUCUUUUCUCUGUCUAAAGAAAAUGAAAAAGAAAAGAAAAGAAAGGAGGGUGGGAAUGGUGUGAGGGUGAGAGUGGGAGUGGGAGUAGGAGUGGGAGUGUGAGUAGUGUAGAGGGGAAGCAGACCCUUGGUCUCAACAAUUCUUGGAAUAAUCCGCCGUAUAAAUUGGAUCGUCGAAGAAACAUGGAAACUGAACGUGCUGGAAGAGAGACUGGAUGAGAAAGAGAAAGAGAGAGAGAGAGAAAGAGAGAGAGAGAGAAUGGAAGGAGGAGAGAAACAUAGACGAUGAACAUGGGUUUCAUCUCCCACACGAGCUUCUCACAACGAGAUUCUACAUACAGGAUAGCGAGUUUCUCCUUCUCCUUUUGUAGAUGAUAUAUGCAGGAUAUAUAGAUAAAUAUAAGAAACGGGGACGUGUCUCGAACGUGAAAUCUCGAAUGAAUUUCUUUUUUCAAGGGGAGGAAAAAAGGAAAGUUCGACUUCGACGGAUGAAUUUUUCCGAUCGUCGGUGGAAAAAAUGAGAAAGCUCUAGCUCGUUAUUUUUUAUUUUGUCUUUUGUCUUUUCUUCUCUCUCUCUCUCUUCUUUUUUUUCUCAUUUCUUUACUUUUCUUUUUUUCUCUUUUUUUUUUUUCUACGUAGAAAACAACAACGAUAGCAUUUAUCUGUUCUUCGAGAAAAGUCAAACGACAAAUGGUAAUCGUUUAUCGAAUUUGAAGGAAACGGAAGCCUUGUCAGGCUUAGGUAUAUGUUAAAUGCGAAACAAUUUGUAAGGUCUCGCCAACUAAUUUUACGAGAAGGAUACGAAGCGUGACUUCAACGUAUCUCGUUAACGCCAAACGAACGUAGCGAUAGCUACGUGCACGUUGUAUUUGUGUACGCAGGCGAGUUUCUUUGUGUACGAAUGUGUGUACGCGUGUGUGUACGCGCGUGUAUCUAUCUCUGUGCAAACAUAGCAAGGUAUUGUCUGGAAAACGUGUUUGCAAACCAACGUUGGUUUGUUGAUUCGCCUGGAAUUGGAUUAAACGGGAGAACUCCUUCGCUUCUCUCUCUCUCACUCUCUUAUUUUCUCUCUCUCUCUCUCUCUCUCUCUCUCUUUCUUUUUCUCUUUUUCUAUGUAAUAUUACGAACGAUUUCCUUUGUUUUCAAGUGACCUUCGACGAGAAAUAAGACCACACCCUCGCGAACAAAUGUCAAGUACUAGAGAAAACCUUUGAAUUACUUCUUAUCGUAACCUCCAACUCACUUUAAUGAAUUCGUUAGGUCGAUUUAUGGAUUAUCCUUGUGUCCGAUAAUUGUGAAAUGAAAUUCUGACUCUUUGCAACAAUGUAAUUAUUUCGUCUACUUUCGUUCAAUUGAUUUACCGUUCGUAAUUUUUCGUUUCUUUUCUCUUUGUUUUCUUUAUUUCCUUCUUUUUUUUAUUUUAUUUUUAUUAUUAUCGAAAUUAUUUGGAGUAAAAUAUCCCUCUGAAAAAAAAAAAAUAAAUAAAAAAAAAAGAGAAAGCCCGAUUUAAGCGGGUCUCGUAAAUCUAACGAAGAGAUUUGUUGGAAAAAGGAAGGUCAAUCUAGUUCGGCCGUUUCAGAUGAGGAUUAGAUUAGAUUAUUACGUAGAUAAUGGCGUCCGUAAAUACGAGUAGCACUCUUUCCCCCUCCCCCCCCCCCCACGCUCUAUAUUUCUCUUUUCUUUUUUCCUUUCUUUUCUUCUCUUUUCUUUUGUUUUUCUUUUCUUAUUUUUUUUUUUUUUUUUUCUUUUCUUUUCUUCAUUCGAAACAGUUUCACGAGUUGUAAUAUAAUAGAUUCUAACGAUAGUUACGUAUUCUUUCUAAUCUUUUAAUUACAUUUGGAUUGUGAAUUAUCAGAAGGAUUAAAAGUUGCAAAAAAUAUUAUGCAUACUUGUCGAUAAAUUACGUAAAAAUAGAAACAAUAACGAAUAACAUUGGUUUACUUAAUAUAAAAUUCCUUUAACAUAAUUUUAAUAUAUCAUCUCAUUUUAGAUAAUUAAUCAUUAUUAAAAACAACGAUAAGUUAUUAUUAUAUAUUAUUCUUCUUAAAAUUAUACAUCGUUUAUCGUUUAAACGAAGCACUUAUUUUAUUAUUAUUAACACGAAGUAGAUUCGACCUCAAUGAAAAACUUCUUCCGUAUACAAACUGUCCGCUCUUUCAUUUUGUGAAAACUAUAUGGAGGAGGUUCGAUCAAGGACACUCAUAAAGGAGCACGAGCCAACGUCAAUAUAUCGAAGGGUACAAAGUUUGCCUUGGAAGAUUCCCAAAAUUUGUUCGUAUUUUUCCCAGACGACGACGACGAUGACGACGACGACGACGACUCGCACGUGGAGUUUCUUCAACUCCCACACCUUGGCGUAUCUUUACGACUCGGCACUUUCGGAUUUCACCAAGUUUUCGGUCCUAUGUUCGGCCUAUCGUCUUCCUCCCUCCCUCCCUUCCUUUGCUUCCUUCCUUCCUUCCUUCCUUCCUUCCUUCCUUCCUUCCUUCCUUCCUUCCUUCAUUCCUUCAUUCCUUCCUUCCUUCUUUCCUUCCUUACUUUUAUACCUACUCUUUCUUUAGGAAAUAUCGCUUGUAAUUUCCAGUUCCCACGGGAUAUAUAUAUGUAUCUACCCUCGAUGUUGUUACAACGACAAACGUGUUUUUAUAAAUUUCAUAUGGCGAGAUAAAAAUGUUCUCGACGGUUUAGAAAUAUAAUAAUAUACUUUUGUAUAUUUAUCUAUUUUCUAUCUUAACGAUGGAUAUUGGAUA